rnacentral:rRNA from 1 species
UGGGGAAUUUUGGACAAUGGGCGCAAGCCUGAUCCAGCAAUGCCGCGUGUGUGAAGAAGGCCUUCGGGUUGUAAAGCACUUUUGUCCGGAAAGAAAACCCCGGUCCUAAUACGGCGGGGGGAUGACGGUACCGGAAGAAUAAGCACCGGCUAACUACGUGCCAGCAGCCGCGGUAAUACGUAGGGUGCGAGCGUUAAUCGGAAUUACUGGGCGUAAAGCGUGCGCAGGCGGUCCGUUAAGACAGAUGUGAAAUCCCCGGGCUUAACCUGGGAACUGCAUUUGUGACUGGCGGGCUAGAGUAUGGCAGAGGGGGGUAGAAUUCCACGUGUAGCAGUGAAAUGCGUAGAGAUGUGGAGGAAUACCGAUGGCGAAGGCAGCCCCCUGGGCCAAUACUGACGCUCAUGCACGAAAGCGUGGGGAGCAAACAGGAUUAGAUACCCUGGUAGUCCACGCCCUAAACGAUGUCAACUAGUUGUCGGGUCUUCAUUGACUUGGUAACGUAGCUAACGCGUGAAGUUGACCGCCUGGGGAGUACGGUCGCAAGAUUA